CUUAUUUCAUUACGAGCCUAUGCAAUAAAAUUGUCUGAUUUCUAGGGAUUUCUAUUCCCUUCCCUCUUCACUGUUUAGCUGUUCAUUGCCAUUUCAACCCUAUUUUACCAUCUCAAUCCAAAAGUUAUUUCAGCAAACUGUUUCACAUCUUCUUCACAAUUUCCAGCAAAGUCAAUGCUCCGAUUAUUCAGCCCUUCAAGUUCUCUCUUUGCAUCUUUUGUCGGCUCUACCGUCUCAGAUCAUCGGCCCAACUGUUCCGCUCACUCUCUUAUUGGGCUGAUUGAAGUCCAAGUGCUUCUUCACUUUAUCGGCGGCUAUUUUUAGGUUAUAUUUUCUUUUAUUCUAUACUUUUUUUUGUAUUUUCUUUGAUUUUUCUCUUCGUCUUUGAUACUUGUAGCUUUACGGAUUUUUCUUUGAUUCUCUUUGAUUUUUCUUUGAUCGAAGUCCAACUAUUUCGUUCACUCUCUUAUUGUAUUUUCUUUGAUUUUCCUCUUCGUCUUUUGUUCUUCAAAUUUGUCUCAUUUUCUUGGGUUGAAUCUUCAUUCAAAACAUUUAUGUGCUUUGUUUUUGUUAGCUUUGAUUUUGUAUUUUGGGUUUUUUUUUCAACAUUACAAUGUAUUAAUUUUUAAACUGGCUAGAUUUUGGAAGUCUUGCAUCUAUGAUGUAUGGGUAAAAUAAUAAAUAUGGUAGAUGCAUAGAAUUUAAGCAAUAAAUUUAGUGACAAUAGAGGAUUUUUCAUACCCUAGCUGUGAAUCAAUUUAAUUUACCAAUUUAAAAAACUUUCUUCAUAUCAUUUUUGCUUCCAAGAAAAGUAAAAGAAGAAGAAGAAGAAUGAUGAUCACAUUGCAUUGUUGAUUGUUUUGAAUCAACAUUGGUUUAAAUCGGAAGGAACCUUGAAAUUUGAUCUAACUUGAUGGAAAUUUCCAAUUGCACUGUUGGUGGUAUGUUUGUUUAUGGACUUGUUUUCCUUUUUUUUCUUCUGGGUUUUGACUGAAAAUGACCUAAAAUUUAGGAUUGAGAUGUUUCCAGGAUACUUCAGCUCAUAUGGCAGAUGCCUUGCAUUUUUUGCAUUUCUAAUUUCACCUUUCUUUGGUGCUUCAUUCAUGCAUUCAUUCAUUUGUCUUUUUCUUUCCUUUUCUGAUGUGGUGUUUCUUGUUUAUGGAUUUGAGCAUAAAAUGUUCUGAUUAAUCUAAUAACAUUAUGUAAAAUCAUAUAAAAAAAUUAAACAAAGAGCUAAAGAGCUGAAAAGUUGAUGUUGGAGAUAGGGAACCAAUCAUAUGCAUCUUUGUAGCUAUUGCCAAUGCCAUCCAGUGAGCUGAUGAGAUGGUUUUCUGCUAUAUUUUUUUUUAAUUCACAAACUUAUCAGGUUUUUGUGAUUGAGGUUUAAAUGGGGUAUACCAAAUUUUGGGUCAUAAUUAUUAUGAUAUGCAAACAAAAUGGUUCCAAAUUCUAAUUGAAGAAAGCUUGGUGAAGUUGGUAUAUAUAUUAUUUUCCAAUAAGAUAAAGAGAGAACAAAUUCAAUUAAGAAGACGAGGAGAAAUAGGGUACAUUAAUGAUCCCAAAUGAUAAAAAGGAGGAAAGUUCCUUUAUGUAACAUUGGAAACUAGGAAGUAUAGAGGUAACUGUUUAAAUGGUUCAUUCUCUAUUUACUCAACUCAAACCAGGAAGUAUACAUUACGAAAAUGUGACAUGGCCAUCAAAAGUCUAAUAGACAUGAAAACAAUGAAAUAAACACAAUAUUACAUUUUCAAACACACUAACAUGACACAGUUAAUCCAUGUAUCAUAUUUGUGUUUAUGAUUUAACACAUAAGGUUCUUCUUUUCUAAUUCCAAGUUUGUUGUUUAUGAUUUAAUACCUUGUUCUGCAAUUUUGCUUUCUUUUAUCAUUUGGAGCUUUAAUAUUUUAACACAACUGAUGUCAAUUUCUUGUUUUGUUAAUAUUUUUAUUAUUUAUUGAUGCAGGCGGACAGACAAUUAUCAGGUAACUUUCACAAACAUGCAUUGUUUUUAUAUUCCUUCAUUAUUUACUAAUAUAUCUGCUGCCCUGUUUUUAUAUGGCUAGAUUUUAUAACUAUUGUUAACAAUCCCAUGGCUAAUAAGUGAAUUUCUAUUUUCUUUUUACCUUUAGAACAAACUAACUUUGGGUCUAUAAUAGCAUUUCAAUGUUGUAUUCAUGGGAUGCCACUAUUUGUUGUAAGUUGGUUAUGUGUUCAACUUUGGAAAGAUGAAAUUUGUUAAUGGAAAAGGAGGCUGCCAAGGUAAAGAGCGGCACACCCUCGUAGGCUGCCAAAUGCCAAGAUUCAACAACAACAAAAAAAAUGAACGAGGAAAACGGACAUAAACAAAUAUCUCCGCUAGAAUGAUGAUACCAUUACUCUUUUCUAGUAAUACGGGAAAGACAAUAUAUACAUGUUAAACUACAUUUACAAUUCGGAUAUGAUCUUUUUACUUUAAACAAGAACAUUUUGGUUAUAUUUAAUUUUCGAUAUAUUUUUAUUUUUUAUAUGUUUCAUUUAAAACUAUUUUAACCUUUUAAUAUAUUAUUAAACUAUUUUUAUUUUCGAUAUCUUUAAUUUAUGUUAUAUUUAAUUUUGGUCUUAAAACAAUGUUUUAUAUUACUUAUAUUGUUUGAUUAAAAAUUAUAAUUAACACUACAAAAAUUAUCUCAACAAACGAAACAAAAAAAAAAGUAAGUAAAAUGCUACAAACAAGUCAUGUUAUGGUAAGAAUGUAAUGUAUAUGGAGUUUUAGAUUUUACUUAAAUAAAAAUAAUAAUCGAAUAUUUUAAAAUACAUAAUUUUUAAGAUAUUUAACACACCAUAAUGAUCAAAUGGGUAUUUUUUAAAAAAAUAAUUAUUAAACGUCAGUUAUCAAUUAAUUAAAUCCACAAAAACACAUUAUUUUCUUUUCUUUCUUUUUUCUUUCUUUUU
rnacentral:lncRNA from 1 species